rnacentral:rRNA from 1 species
UACGGAGGGGUUAGCGUUGUUCGGAAUUACUGGCGUAAAGCGCACGUAGGCGGAUUGGAAAGUUGGGGUGAAAUCCCGGGCUCAACCCCCGGAACUGCCUCCAAAACUUACCAGCCUGGAGUUCGAGAGAGGUGAGUGGAAUUCCGAGUGUAGAGGUGAAAUUCGUAGAUAUUCGGAGGAACACCAGUGGCGAAGGCGGCUCACUGGCUCGAUACUGACGCUGAGGUGCGAAAGUGUGGGGAGCAAACAGGAUUAGAUACCCCGGUAGU